CUGCUAUCGGAUUGAUACUAAGCCAUGCGAGUCUUUGUAGUAAUACAAGGCAGACGGCUCAGUAACACGUAGUCAACCUACCCUAUGGACAAGAAUAAUCUCGGGAAACUGGGCAUAAUUCUUGAUAGAUCAUAAUGCCUGGAAUGGUUUAUGGUUAAAAUGAUUCGUCGCCAUAGGAUGGGACUGCGGCCUAUCAGCUUGUUGGUGAGGUAAUGGCCCACCAAGGCGAUUACAGGUACGGGCUCUGAGAGGAGAAGCCCGGAGAUGGGUACUGAGACACGGACCCAGGCCCUAUGGGGCGCAGCAGGCGAGAAAACUUUGCAAUGUGCGAAAGCACGACAAGGUUAAUCCGAGUGAUUUCUGCUAAAGAAAUCUUUUGCCAGUCGUAAAACCACUGGUGAAUAAGGGGUGGGCAAGUUCUGGUGUCAGCCGCCGCGGUAAAACCAGCACCUCAAGUGGUCAGGAUGAUUAUUGGGCCUAAAGCAUCCGUAGCCGGCUUUGUAAGUUUUCGGUUAAAUCCAUGUGCUCAACGCAUGGGCUGCCGAAAAUACUGCAUAGCUAGGGAGUGGGAGAGGUAGACGGUACUCAGUAGGAAGGGGUAAAAUCCUUUGAUCUAUUGAUGACCACCUGUGGCGAAGGCGGUCUACCAGAACACGUUCGACGGUGAGGGAUGAAAGCUGGGGGAGCAAACCGGAUUAGAUACCCGGGUAGUCCCAGCUGUAAACGAUGCAGACUCGAUGAUGCAUUGGCAUAAUAGCCAGUGCAGUGUCGCAGGGAAGCCGUUAAGUCUGCCGCCUGGGAAGUACGUACGCAAGUAUGAAACUUAAAGGAAUUGGCGGGGGAGCACCACAAGGGGUGAAGCCUGCGGUUCAAU
rnacentral:rRNA from 1 species